UCUGUUUAAGUAUGGUUAAUUCAAAGAUGAUAUUAAAACAAGAUAUUACUAGAAAUCAAUACCUUUUACACUACUUUAUAAACAAAAUCAGGGCAAAAUGUUUUCAACAUUGAAACAAUGUAUUUAGCAUUGAAACAAUGGAUUUGGAUUAUCAUAAGUGAAACAUAACUUUGUAACUGUAUAAUAAAAUUAUCUUCACAGAAAUAAAUUGGUAAAUUACAAAAUUUCAGAAUACAAAUGGUGAUAUUAUAUGAUUGUCUUCUUAUCAAGUCAAAUACAAUAAAUACCAAACAUGAUGAGAGGAAUCAGUAUAAUACUUUUCAGGGGAGAUAAUCUGAACCACUUGUUGUGCAGAAAGGAAUAAAAGUUCUUAAGGCACAACUCCUGCAAAUCUUUAAAAUUACAAUUAUUGUAUAAUUUAUCAUAAUUCAAGUUCACAAAGAAGGACAUACAACUUUAAACAAGUAUCUUUAAAAAUACUUCAUACAAAAGAUGUCAGAAUGAAAAUUGAUGGCAGAUCUAUCACUUUUCUUGCUUCUUCAAAUGCAGGCCUUUGGGUUUAUAUUUUUUUCCAAUCCUAAAUACUAUAGACAAUACAAAACAAUA